UCCCUGUGGCCCAGCAGUUUCUGAUACAGAGGAGAUGCACUGUCAUUUGGGGGAAAGCGUCUUGUUGCACUUGGUUCUUAACUUGUGGCUCACAACCCUGUGCCCAUCACUCCGUGAACUCUGACCUGCACUCUGCUCUGCAAGAGGAUGAAACUCAGCAGGUGGAGACGUUCUGUCAUUAAGAAACCCCAGAGCCUCUGUAGAGAAGACUGGCAGUGUGUCCCACAAGCUCUGGGACAGAGAACCAACAGUGUGACUUACAGGAAGGAGAGCUAAGCAACGGCUGGCGGGGGGGGGG
rnacentral:lncRNA from 1 species